rnacentral:tRNA from 1 species
AAGGAGUUAGGUUAAUAUUAGACCUUUAGCCUUCAAAGCUAGCAGUGGAAGAGGUCUUCCAGUCCUUA